AGAGUUUGAUCCUGGCUCAGGAUGAAACGCUGGCGGCGUGCCUAAUACAUGCAAGUCGAGCGAACGGAUAAGGAGCUUGCUCCUUUGAAGUUAGCGGCGGACGGGUGAGUAACACGUGGGUAACCUACCUAUAAGACUGGAAUAACUUCGGGAAACCGGAGCUAAUGCCGGAUAACAUUUGGAACCGCAUGGUUCUAAAGUAAAAGAUGGUUUUGCUAUCACUUAUAGAUGGACCCGCGCCGUAUUAGCUAGUUGGUAAGGUAACGGCUUACCAAGGCAACGAUACGUAGCCGACCUGAGAGGGUGAUCGGCCACACUGGAACUGAGACACGGUCCAGACUCCUACGGGAGGCAGCAGUAGGGAAUCUUCCGCAAUGGACGAAAGUCUGACGGAGCAACGCCGCGUGAGUGAUGAAGGUUUUCGGAUCGUAAAACUCUGUUAUUAGGGAAGAACAAAUGCGUAAGUAACUGUGCGCAUCUUGACGGUACCUAAUCAGAAAGCCACGGCUAACUACGUG
rnacentral:rRNA from 1 species